rnacentral:ncRNA from 1 species
AAGAGCCGGAUGAAUCGAGAGGUUUACGUCCGGUUCCGUGAGGGCGUGGGGGUGAAAUUCCCCCGCGCUACUCGAC